CGGGGGCAGUGCCCGGGCCCCGCCCCGUGCCCGCGGGGAUGGUGGUGGCCGAGCCCGAGGACGACCCCCCGAUCAUUUAUUUCCGGGCACUGGUGAACUUCACCCGCAGCAUCGACUUCAGCUCCCGGCUGGAGGACCCGGAUUCCGAGGAAUUCCGGGAGAUUUCGGAGGCUGUGGUGGACACGCUGGAGUCGGAGUAUUACAAGGUGCCUGGGGAGCAGGUGGUCAGUGUGGUCUUCAUCAAGUGAGUGGGGGGGCUUUGGGG